rnacentral:rRNA from 1 species
UAAUACGUGAGAAUCUGCCCUUAGGAGGAGGAUAACUGCUGGAAACGGCUGCUAACACUCCAUAUGUCGAGAGAUGAAAUAAUUUAUUGCCUAAGGAUGAGCUCACGCCUGAUUAGCUAGUUGGUGAGGUAAUGGCUCACCAAGGCCACGAUCAGUAGCUGGUUUGAGAGAACGAUCAGCCACACUGGGACUGAGACACGGCCCAGACUCCUCCGGGAGGCAGCAGUGAGGAAUUUUCCGCAAUGGGCGAAAGCCUGACGGAGCAAUACCGCGUGAGGGAUGAAGGAUUUUGGUCUGUAAACCUCUUUUCUCAAGAAAGAAGUUCUGACGGUACUUGAGGAAUAAGCAUCGGCUAACUCCGUGCCAGCAGCCGCGGUAAUACGGGGGAUGCAAGCGUUAUCCGGAAUCAUUGGGCGUAAAGCGCCUGUAGGUUGUUUAAUAAGUCUGUUGUUAAAGNCUAGGGCUUAACCCUAGNAANGCAAUGGAAACUACUANACUAGAGUNUGGCAGGGGUAGAGGGAAUUUCUAGUGUAGCGGUGAAAUGCGUAGAUAUUAGAAAGAACACCGGUGGCGAAAGCGCUCUACUGGACCAUUACUGACACUCAGAGGCGAAAGCUAGGGUAGCAAAAGGGAUUAGAUACCCCUGUAGUCCUAGCCGUAAACGAUGGAUACUAGAUGUUGUGCGUAAAGCGAAAGCUAGGGUAGCAAAAGGGAUUAGAUACCCCUGUAGUCCUAGCCGUAAACGAUGGAUACUAGAUGUUGUGCAUUGGCGAAAGCUAGGGUAGCAAAAGGGAUUAGAU